GCUGCAAGUUUGAGGCCAGCCUGGGCUACACACUGAAAAAUGUCACUUCCAUGAAGGCCAAGACUGAGGCUGUCAUGAUCUCUACAUCUCUGCCACAGUGCCCUGUCCUAGGAGACCCUCAUGAAUAUGCUAAGGGAUAAAAAGGAGGGCCUGAGCACUGAAUGAGGUGCUCAGCCCCUACAUUUUUUCCCUGAUAUGAGUAAUACAUAUUGAAUGCAGUGAAAAUUUGAAAAUACAUAUGAGCAAAAAGAAGAAAAUAUAAAUACAUAUGAUCCAACCAACCACCAUGUGGAUCCCCUUCCAAAUGUUCUUUUAUGUAUCUAGAGAAAGAGAACACAUCUUUUCAUAAAAAUGGCUCCCAUAUCUGAAUAGUAAUCUGCUGCGUUCCACCUGCCAGUGCGUCUUGGUCACCUUUCCUUAAUAUAGGACUUUAGCUACAUCAUUGUUAAAGGCCAUAUAAUACUCUGCUGAGGAUUCACACCAGGAAGUAUUUGAGGAAGCAAGUUACAGUCAAGCCAAAGGGAAGGUUUCUUCAACGUCAACAAAGCACAAGGAUCACUGUUACUACAAGGACGGACCAAACAGGAACACGGGAAACUGCCAACACGCAAACUGCAGUUCCAUACAGUUCAACUUAAUGUGAAAAAACUUGGCAAAACUUUAAUGUUUGGCAAACUUCUAAAUAAAUGUGUUGGUGAUCCUGAGGGGCUUCGACAUGUGCCAUUGGACUAUUCAAACUUGGAAUGCUGUAGAUCACAGAGGCUGCGAAUCAGUCAGGCCUCAGUGUUAAGCCCUGGAUUUUCUCAUUGGAAAGGAAGAAAGCGAUGGUCCUCCUUGUCAGAAGAAAAAAAUUAUUUCAUCGAAAUCACUUAGCACACUACCUGGGCAAAUGUAAGCACUCAAUAAAUAUUAGCUUUAUCAUUUUAUUAUCAGUAAACUUGCUACUCUCAUUAAGAUGGUAUUUGAAUAAAGCUUCUCAUUGCAGCACUAUUUAGAACAAAAAC